CAGGAUAAAACGAUUGAAGUGGUUUUGUCAUCUGCCAAAAAACAAGAACCAUUACCCCUCCACCAGGAGACUAAAGACAGUGGAUCUGGAAAAAAGAAAAAUUCAUCAAAGAAACAGAAAAUGGAUAAUGCAAUGAUGGAUGAACCUUGUAGUCACUCGAGUUCUUAUACUUCUUUGAUGGAUAACUCGGACCCAAAUCCUGCAGCUGAUAAGAGAGAAGUGAUUGAUCUGGUUAAAAGUGAUCAAGUAGAAGGGAUCCAAAAAACAGGAAUGAAUAAACUGAAAAAUGAAACUGACAAAGAAAAUGCAGAGGUAAAAUUUAAGGAUGUCCUUCUCUCUCUGAAGACUAUGAUAUUCUCUGAAACUGAGGCUCUUUGUGUUGUAGACUUGCUAAAGGAGAAGUCUGGUGCUAUACAAGAUGCCUUAAAGA